rnacentral:lncRNA from 1 species
AUGGCUGAUCCUUCACUCAGUCCGAAUACACAUCCGAAUACACAUCAGCGAACAUCCUUGCCCAAUCCUGGAAAAUCGACCAGAACAUCGCUGUCGAUACUGAAGCCGUUGAAGGCUCGUUGUCCUCUUCAAGAUCUGGAUCAGUUGUUGAACACAGAAGAGGACACUACAACUUCUACCUUUACCGCAAUGCGCCGGCGAAGAGUCAGUUUUGCAGGUGUUAAUCAAGUGAAAGAAUUUCACACUGCUGCUGAGUCUUUGACCGUCCACCAUACCCCAGCUUAUGAUGAGCCUUUUACAACCACUAUGUCUUCAGAUUCCUCAGGGUAAGUCAUGUAAUGUGUGUUUUUUUUUUUUGUUGAAAAGUCAGGGACUUCAUAGGAGGAGUCAGAG